GCAGUGGUGGUUGAACGGUAGAAUUUUCACCUUACACGUGGGAAUACUGGGUUAAAUACCUAGCCAAUGCA
rnacentral:tRNA from 1 species